rnacentral:rRNA from 1 species
UACGUAGGGUGCAAGCGUUAAUCGGAAUUACUGGGCGUAAAGCGCGCGCAGGCGGUUCGGAAAGAGAGGUGUGAAAUCCCAGGGCUUAACCUUGGAACUGCACUUUUAACUACCGGGCUAGAGUACGUCAGAGGGGGGUAGAAUUCCACGUGUAGCAGUGAAAUGCGUAGAGAUGUGGAGGAAUACCGAUGGCGAAGGCAGCCCCCUGGGCCUGCACUGACGCUCAUGCACGAAAGCGUGGGGAGCAAACAGG